rnacentral:rRNA from 1 species
GAUGAACGCUGGCGGCAUGCCUUACACAUGCAAGUCGAACGGUAACGCGGGGCAACCUGGCGACGAGUGGCGAACGGGUGAGUAAAGUAUCGGAACGUGCCCAGUAGUGGGGGAUAGCCCGGCGAAAGCCGGAUUAAUACCGCAUGAGACCUGAGGGUGAAAGCGGGGGAUCGCAAGACCUCGCGCUAUUGGAGCGGCCGAUAUCAGAUUAGGUAGUUGGUGGGGUAAAGGCCUACCAAGCCGACGAUCUGUAGCUGGUCUGAGAGGACGACCAGCCACACUGGGACUGAGACACGGCCCAGACUCCUACGGGAGGCAGCAGUGGGGAAUUUUGGACAAUGGGCGCAAGCCUGAUCCAGCCAUGCCGCGUGCGGGAAGAAGGCCUUCGGGUUGUAAACCGCUUUUGUCAGGGAAGAAAUCUUCUGGGUUAAUACCUCGGGAGGAUGACGGUACCUGAAGAAUAAGCACCGGCUAACUACGUGCCAGCAGCCGCGGUAAGGAGUAGUACA